AGUGAACGCUGGCGGUAGGCCUAACACAUGCAAGUCGAACGGCAGCACAGUAAGAGCUUGCUCUUACGGGUGGCGAGUGGCGGACGGGUGAGGAAUACAUCGGAAUCUAAUUUUUCGGGGGGGAUAACGUAGGGAAACUUACGCUAAUACCGCAUACGACCUACGGGUGAAAGCAGGGGAUCUUCGGACCUUGCGCGAUUGAAUGAGCCGAUGUCGGAUUAGCUAGUUGGCGGGGUAAAGGCCCACCAAGGCGACGAUCCGUAGCUGGUCUGAGAGGAUGAUCGGCCACACUGGAACUGAGACACGGUCCAGACUCCUACGGGAGGCAGCAGUAGGGAAUAUUGCACAAUGGGCGCAAGCCUGAUCCAGCCAUACCGCGUGGGUGAAGAAGGCCUUCGGGUUGUAAAGCCCUUUUGUUGGGAAAGAAAAGCAGCAGGUUAAUACCCCGCUGUUCUGACGGUACCCAAAGAAUAAGCACCGGCUAACUUCGUG
rnacentral:rRNA from 1 species